rnacentral:rRNA from 1 species
AUUGAACGCUGGCGGCAUGCCUUACACAUGCAAGUCGAACGGUAACAGGGAGCUUGCUCCGCUGACGAGUGGCGAACGGGUGAGUAAUGUAUCGGAACGUACCAUUCAGUGGGGGAUAACGUAGCGAAAGUUACGCUAAUACCGCAUAUUCUGUGAGCAGGAAAGCAGGGGAUCGCAAGACCUUGCGCUGAUUGAGCGGCCGAUAUCAGAUUAGCUAGUUGGUGAGGUAAAGGCUCACCAAGGCGACGAUCUGUAGCGGGUCUGAGAGGAUGAUCCGCCACACUGGAACUGAGACACGGUCCAGACUCCUACGGGAGGCAGCAGUGGGGAAUUUUGGACAAUGGGGGCAACCCUGAUCCAGCCAUGCCGCGUGAGUGAAGAAGGCCUUCGGUUGUAAGACUCUUCGUCCGGGAAAAUACGCAUCAGUUAAUAACCUGGUGUGGAUGAUGGUACCGGAAGUAAGAAGACACCGGCUAACUACGUGCC